rnacentral:rRNA from 1 species
CACGUAGGGGGCAAGCGUUGUCCGGAAUCAUUGGGCGUAAAGAGCUCGUAGGCGGCUCGGUAAGUCGGGUGUGAAACCCCCCAGGCUCAACCUGGGGACGCCACCCGAUACUGCUGUGGCUAGAGUCCAGUAGGGGAGUGUGGAAUUCCCGGUGUAGCGGUGAAAUGCGCAGAUAUCGGGGAGGAACACCAGUGGCGAAGGCGACUACCUGGCCUGUUUCUUGACGCUGAGGCGCGAAAGCUAGGGGAGCAAACGGG